UCUUUCAGAUGCGGAGGGAUUAAAUCCGUGGCAGCGCGCCCUGGACCGGGUGAGGGGGUUCCCACCGGAAGGUCAGUCACCAUUUGUGUUUGUGGGGCAAGUGUAAAUGGUGGCUGUGUUCCAGCAUUGUUCUUUGUCUUUAUUUUUAGGAGGUCAAGCCGGAUCUCAGCUGUCAAGGUGAAGUGAGCGAGGUGGUCCACCGGCAAGAUGUCCUGGUCUGGGAUGCUGGCAGCCAGGAUGUUUUUUGCUUUGUUUCUUUGCAGGUGCUGCUGCUGCCUUGGACAUGCCAAGAAAUAGAGACAAUCAGGUAUUUUCUGGGCUGCCUCUGGAAUCGGAUGAAGAUUUGAGGUACUGUGAGCAGCUGCAGAGCUGAAGUUUGGAAGCGGCCACCACCGAAACAGACCCUGGGGACUGUAUCAACAUCCAUGGCGCCCGUGUGUUCAUUUCCAUUGAGGAUGGAUUUUGUCAGCUUGUCUUCCAAAAGCUAAGUGUUGGGACCAGUGGUGGGGACAAGGGAAAACCCUUUGGAAUUGCAGGAGGCAAUUUGAAGUUAGCUUAGAGGAGAGGGCCAUAGCGGGAUAGGCCCCUUGGAAGUAAAGGGAGAGGGUUUCUCCUCAGCAUCACCCGACCUUUUGCCGGGCAGGACAGUUCCGACCCGUCUCUGUGUUCUCACGAGCUUCACGUCAUUGGCCUUCUCUGAGUCUCAAUGUCAUCGCGGAUCUUUUUGCCUGAGGAGCUCGCCUUUGGGUCCGGAGCGAUCGCCCUGGUCCCCUAGCCGUUGUUGCCUUCUUCUCUAGGCCUCCUGAGCAUCCUCUUAACAGCUCUGGUACUAACUUCUUGUAAGGACUUAUGUUUUGCCAUCAUGUGCUAUUGCCAUAGAGCUUUCUUUCCUUUGGCAUCAUUGGCCUCUGGCUCAUCUUGCAGUAGGAAUCUUGGGUCCAUCAGGUGAAACUGCUGGGCAGUUUCAACUUAUGUCUAUGUUCUGUAGGUUGUGUCUUUGUUAUGUAGUGUCCAUUGUCCUCUGUGUCACAGGGCUUUGUUGCAUGUCAGUGAUUUUUUUGCAUUGUUCUGGGCCGUAUUGGCUGUACUCUACUUGCCUACUUGCCCGGAUGGGGCUUAUUCUGACAUCUUUACCUUCUUACUUCUUGAGACUGGAGGAAGUACACAAGAUGUUCUCAUCCAUCUUCCUUCUCAGUUUUGGUACUGGCUUCUUUUCACAUGCCAUUCCCUUGGACUUCUAUAGGGAGGGUAUCGGACCCUCCGUCUGUGACCGCAGUAUUUCAGUAGGUUCCAUCGCCUCUAAGUGUAUUGCAUUCGAGAAUUAAUCUUCUGGAGACUCAUCUCGAGCCCUCGUGUCAUUUUUCCUUAAUUUGGGGUGCCGCCCGUCCGUGCGCCGCUUAGGGUCGGAGCCACCCUGCCCUGGCACGUAGAGUCACAGUUAGGUAGAACAGUCAUAAAACUUAAGGGUUCAUCUAUUUUCUAUGGGGUUUUGGGCAGAAAAUUUAUGGGCCUGGUGUGGGGAUAACUCCUAGCCAUGGGCCACUCUCUGACCGCUUCACAUUUUCUUGCAGGUCCCGAAGCAGCUUUGGAUCUCCACGGUCACCGAUGCUACCGAUUUUUCCCAGAAUCUACAGUUCGACGUCGAGGAGCGGCAGCUGGGGAAGAUGUAUCAAAGUAUCUUCAUUGGUGGAGUGUUUUGAUGAAUGGCUGCAGUCAGUGUGUAAGCUGAAGAGCGUGUGACUGUCUGUAUCUGUGUGUGAGAGGUUGUGUCUGCCUAUGUGGUUGUGUCUGCCUGUGAGAGUGUGUGUGUGGAAUGGUUCUAACCUUGUGUGUUUGGUUUUUGCCUUUCAGAUUUUUCAAUACAU